rnacentral:rRNA from 1 species
AUUGAACGCUGGCGGCAGGCUUAACACAUGCAAGUCGAGCGGAGAUGAGGUGCUUGCACCUUAUCUUAGCGGCGGACGGGUGAGUAAUGCUUAGGAAUCUGCCUAUUAGUGGGGGACAACAUUCCGAAAGGAAUGCUAAUACCGCAUACGCCCUACGGGGGAAGGCAGGGGAUCUUCGGACCUUGCGCUAAUAGAUGAGCCUAAGUCGGAUUAGCUAGUUGGUGGGGUAAAGGCCUACCGAGGCGACGAUCUGUAGCGGGUCUGAGAGGAUGAUCCGCCACACUGGGACUGAGACACGGCCCAGACUCCUACGGGAGGCAGCAGUGGGGAAUAUUGGACAAUGGGCGGAAGCCUAAUCCAGCCAUGCCGCGUGUGUGAAGAAGGCCUUUUGGUUGUAAAGCACUUUAAGCGAGGAGGAGGCUACCUGGAUUAAUACUCUAGGAUAGUGGACGUUACUCGCAGAAUAAGCACCGGCUAACUCUGUGCCAGCCGCCGCCGUAAAAC